rnacentral:rRNA from 1 species
UACAUGGGGUGCAAACGUUGCUCGGAAUUAUUGGGCGUAAAGCGUGCGUAGACGGUUAUUUAAGUCGGAUGUGAAAGCCCCGGGCUCAACCUGGGAAUUGCAUUCGAGACUGAAUAGCUAGGGUGCGGUAGAGGGAAGCGGAAUUUCCGGUGUAGCGGUGAGAUGCGUAGAUAUCGGAAGGAACAUCAGUGGCGAAAGCGGCUUCCUGGACCAGCACCGACGUCAGGCACGAAAGCGUGGGGAGCAACAGGAU